rnacentral:rRNA from 1 species
UACAGAGACUGCAAGCGUUUAUUCGGAGUUCACUGGGCGUAAGCGUGCGCAGGCGGACGGGUAAGUAGGAAAGUGGAAAGGUUGGAGCUCAACUCCAACACUGCUCCCUAUACUGCCUGUCUUGAAUGUCGGAGAGGAAGAGGGAACGACACGUGUAGCGGUGAAAUGCGUUGAGAUGUGUCGGAACACCAAUGGCGAAGGCACUCUACUGGGCCAUUACUGACACUGAGAGACGAAAGCUAGGGAGCAAAUGGG